rnacentral:rRNA from 1 species
GCGGAGGAAAGGAAACCAACAGGGAUUGCCUUAGUAGCGGCGAGUGAAGCGGCAAAAGCUCAAAUUUGAAAUCUGGCGCCUUCGGUGUCCGAGUUGUAAUUUGAAGAUUGUAACCUUGGGGUUGGCUCUUGUCUAUGUUUCUUGGAACAGGACGUCACAGAGGGUGAGAAUCCCGUGCGAUGAGAUGCCCAAUUCUAUGUAAGGUGCUUUCGAAGAGUCGAGUUGUUUGGGAAUGCAGCUCUAAGUGGGUGGUAAAUUCCAUCUAAAGCUAAAUAUUGGCGAGAGACCGAUAGCGAACAAGUACAGUGAUGGAAAGAUGAAAAGAACUUUGAAAAGAGAGUGAAAAAGUACGUGAAAUUGUUGAAAGGGAAGGGUUUGAGAUCAGACUCGAUAUUUUGUGAGCCUUGCCUUCGUGGCGGGGUGACCCGCAGCUUAUCGGGCCAGCAUCGGUUUGGGCGGUAGGAUAAUGGCGUAGGAAUGUGACUUUACUUCGGUGAAGUGUUAUAGCCUGCGUUGAUGCUGCCUGCCUAGACCGAGGACUGCGAUUUUAUCAAGGAUGCUGGCAUAAUGAUCCCAAACCGCCCGUCUUGA